rnacentral:rRNA from 1 species
UACAGAGGUCUCAAGCGUUGUUCGGAUUCAUUGGGCGUAAAGGGUGCGUAGGCGGCGCGGUAAGUCGGGUGUGAAAUCUCGGAGCUUAACUCCGAAACUGCAUUCGAUACUGCCGUGCUUGAGGACUGGAGAGGAGACUGGAAUUUACGGUGUAGCGGUGAAAUGCGUAGAUAUCGUAAGGAGGACCAGUGGCGAAGGCGGGUCUCUGGACAGUUCCUGACGCUGAGGCACGAAGGCCAGGGGGGCAAACGGG